GUGAUCUGGGCGGCGGAAUUCAGGAUGGCGGUACGCGGUCUCCCUUUGAGCGGGGAGGCGCGCGUUCGUCGUUUGAUAUUUCCGUUGCCGACCCUAACGGGUGCAGACGUCGCGACCUGUUCGCGGUUGGUCCUUGCUCGGAGGAGCCGCGUUCGAGUUCGUUGCGCGACGCGUUUUUACACGUUGCGCGGCGAAGGCGCGGAUCUCUGGCUAACCGGCGGACAGUACGCUGUCAACGGUGUCCGGUGUCGUCGUCCUUGUACGCGCGGCAUCCGGUACCGGUCGGCGACGAAUUCUUCGGGCCUCUUUCCGACCCGUCUUGAAACACGGACCAAGGAGUCUAACAUGCGCGCGAGUCGCGGGGUGUCGAGCGUAUAUCGGUGCGUUCGUUACGUUGCGAAACCCGUACAUGUCGAAGGCGUAAUGAAAGUGAACGGGGAAGAUGGUGUUCCGAGUACACGUUCCGCGAUCGUCGGUAUCGCGGCCGGACACCCGCAUUCCCAGGGCGUCUCAUCCGCCCGUCGCAGCUGCGGACAGUCGUCUCUCGAGGUGGCUGUCGGUCUGCGACGAGCCGAGGCGCACCUAUAGCGUGCACGUUGGUACCCGAAAGAUGGUGAACUAUGCCUGGCCAGGAUGAAGUCAGGGGAAACCCUGAUGGAGGUCCGCAGCGAUUCUGACGUGCAAAUCGAUCGUCUGAGCUGGGUAUA
rnacentral:rRNA from 1 species